AGAUGAAGAACGUAGCGAAAUGCGAUAAGUAAUGUGAAUUGCAGAAUUCAGUGAAUCAUCGAAUCUUUGAACGCACAUUGCGCCCGGCAGCAAUCUGCCGGGCAUGCCUGUCCGAGCGUCAUUUCUCCCCUCGAGCAGCGGUUCCCAGUCCUCCGGGGCUGGGGCCGCGGCCCGGUGUUGGGGUCCUGCGGCCUGGCCGCAGUCCCCGAAAUGAAGUGGCGGUCCCGCCGCGGCGCCCCCUGCGUAGUAGUCUACACCUCGCAUCGGGUCCCGGCGAAGGCCAGCCGUCGAACCUAACUCUUGAUGGUUUGACCUCGGAUCAGGUAGGGUUACCCGCUGAACUUAAGCAUACCAAUAAGCGGAGGA
rnacentral:misc_RNA from 1 species